GACAACGGGUCGAAUUUAUGACUCUCUGGAGGGUCACCCCUCUGCCGGGGACUCUGUUCAGUUAGGGGGAACUUCCCAGGUGCCAUCGGACCAUUCGUUCAGAGGGACUUCCCGGUGACGCAGGACUCCGGCAGUGGCAGUUGACACCUCCAAGAACCACCUGUGAAGGGAAGGAGACCAGGCCAGUCUGCAGCCGGCCGGUGAAGGAAAAGUCUUGCAGGCAAAUAUUGGGGAAGGCGAAAAGAGGUAGCUGAAAUCAAAUCCUGGAUCCAUUGGUCCCAAGUUAAAGUGGCUGCCCCAACCCAGUGGAAAGUUGGAGGCAACUCGGUUCAAUCACUGAAACUAACUCUUCAAAGGACAAGAGGGAACCUCUCCCUUUCUGGUGAUACUCCGGGAGCUGUCCCUCUACGAACGGGAGAGGUGAAGAAAACCCCUGCAGGUGUUACUCUGGAGGCUAACAUCUAAUGCACAGUAUUAUGUUGCUCUCAGAAGUGUUGACGUGGGAGUAGAAGUUAUGUUGCAAAUCUCAGGAAAAUACAAGGAACAGAAGUAAGGAACUUGUUAAAUGUACUGAUGAGCUUAAUGACCUAUGUUCUAUAUCAUUCCUGUAACAAACUUAUAUUAAGCAAUAUGUCACCAGAUGUGUUCACGGAAAGUAAUAGACGGUGUAAGAUAGUACCCAUAUAUGGAAAUAGAGUCAGAAGCAUAAUGCCUCUGGUGUGGCUAGAAUUGCAAAAUGUAUAAAAGGUACACCUUGGGCGUAGCCCAGGGUUCAGAAUCUGUCAUUCUAAUGCUCUGAACAUUUGCGCAAAUAAAAACCUGUGUUCUCCAAUCUUUGUGGUCUUGUCUCCUGAAUUGUUAAUGUGGGUUUUCUCACUACAAUACAAUAAUAGAACAGAAUAAACUGAUUAAAUAACAAUUUAAAACAGCAACAGAGACUGAACUAUUAACAGUUCCAGCAGAAAUACAAAAAUUAAAAGACAGAAUUAAAAGAGUUUGCUU